UUCACACUUUGUGUUGCUUGCCUUUAAAA
rnacentral:piRNA from 1 species